rnacentral:rRNA from 1 species
UACGUAGGGGGCAAGCGUUGUCCGGAAUCAUUGGGCGUAAAGCGCGUGUAGGCGGCCAGAAAAGUCCGCUGUGAAAACUCGAGGCUACAACUUCGAGCUGUCGGUGGAAACUUUCUGGCUAGAGUCCGGAAGAGGAGAAUGGAAUUCCUGGUGUAGCGGUGAAAUGCGCAGAUAUCAGGAAGAACACCCGUGGCGAAGGCGGUUCUCUGGGACGGUACUGACGCUGAGACGCGAAAGCGUGGGGAGCGAACAGG